CAAGAAUUGAGGUUGGGUACUUGCAUCUGAGGUUUCUCGGCAACAUUGGAUCUGCACUUUGGGCUUAAGACUUAUCUUUUAAUGCAAUGACUUCAAUCCAACAAAAAUCCCAUGUUGUUAAGUAAUUCAUUGUGAAAGCCGAGUAAAAGGUUUCUUUGAUUGGUUUAAAGGCGUCAUGGAUGAUAUUGCAAUGUCACUACCAUCAAGUAAUAGAAAUGCCCACCUACUUGAUAACCGCCUACAAAGAAGGAGAUGCAGGAUCUGCACUUAAUGCCAUGUUACAGAAACUGCAACAUGCGAAGAAUGGGGUCGAUGUUGUCUUAGAAAGUCAGAUAAGGACACAUAGUUGUUUUCGGACUUGGCUGUAGCACAUGAAUCAUCUUGAAUAGGUAAACCCCUAAUUCAUGAUGGAUAGUGAAGCCUUCAAGCUACAAAGUCUUCUGCACUUCAAACAUAACAAUAUACAUAAUAUCCUUAUUUCUUAGUGUGUUAGCAAUUUAGCAAGGAAACAUCAAGUUUUUUUUUAAUAAAACUAGAGGAUAAAUUAUAAUAUUCAAGCUAAACGUUUCCCUUUGUGUGAUAUUACUUGCCUUCAGGUGACUUACUGUAAGUUUUGGUGGAUGUUUAUAUAUUGUCAACCUGUAAUUCUAUUUUUUUUAUUCUUAUUCAAUUUUUUUUGAUUGGAUACAGUGCUAAAACCAGUAAUACAUCUUUAUGAUUUCCUUUUGUAUCUCUACAGAUGCCUCUGCGUUCAAAUAUGACAAUAGCUGGUGCA